AACGAACGCUGGCGGCGUGCCUAACACAUGCAAGUCGAACGGAAUUGAGGGGCUUGCUCUUCAAUUUAGUGGCGCACGGGUGAGUAACGCGUGGAUAAUCUGCCUGACGAUCUGGGAUAACAUCUCGAAAGGGGUGCUAAUACCGGAUAAGCCCACGGGAACUUCGGUUUUUGCGGGAAAAGGGGAGGACCUUUUGGCCUUCUGUCGUCAGCUGGUUCCGCGUAACAGUAGCUAGUUGGUAGGGUAAAGGCCUACCAAGGCUACGAUGGUUAGCUGGUUUGAGAGAAUGAUCAGCCACACUGGAACUGAGACACGGUCCAGACUCCUACGGGAGGCAGCAGUGGGGAAUUUUGCGCAAUGGGCGAAAGCCUGACGCAGCAACGCCGCGUGAGUGAUGAAGGCUUUCGGGUCGUAAAGCUCUGUCAGAGGGAAAGAAGUGUAUUGUGGCUAAUAUCCGCGAUACUUGACGGUACCCUCAAAGGAAGCACCGGCUAACUCCGUGCCAGCAGCCGCAGUAACAC
rnacentral:rRNA from 1 species